GCAGUCGAGCGGACAGAUGGGAGCUUGCUCCCUGAUGUUAGCGGCGGACGGGUGAGUAACACGUGGGUAACCUGCCUGUAAGACUGGGAUAACUCCGGGAAACCGGGGCUAAUACCGGAUGGUUGUUUGAACCGCAUGGUUCAAACAUAAAAGGUGGCUUCGGCUACCACUUACAGAUGGACCCGCGGCGCAUUAGCUAGUUGGUGAGGUAAUGGCUCACCAAGGCAACGAUGCGUAGCCGACCUGAGAGGGUGAUCGGCCAUACUGGGACUGAGCCACGGCCCAAACUUAUACGGGAGGCAGCAGUAGGGAAUCUUCCGCAAUGGACGAAAGUCUGACGGAGCAACGCCGCGUGAGUGAUGAAGGUUUUCGGAUCGUAAAGCUCUGUUGUUAGGGAAGAACAAGUACCGUUCGAAUAGGGCGGUACCUUGACGGUACCUAACCAGAAAGCCACGGCUAACUACGUGCCAGCAGCCGCGGUAAUACGUAGGUGGCAAGCGUUGUCCGGAAUUAUUGGGCGUAAAGGGCUCGCAGGCGGUUUCUUAAGUCUGAUGUGAAAGCCCCCGGCUCAACCGGGGAGGGUCAUUGGAAACUGGGGAACUUGAGUGCAGAAGAGGAGAGUGGAAUUCCACGUGUAGCGGUGAAAUGCGUAGAGAUGUGGAGGAACACCAGUGGCGAAGGCGACUCUCUGGUCUGUAACUGACGCUGAGGAGCGAAAGCGUGGGGAGCGAACAGGAUUAGAUACCCUGGUAGUCCACGCCGUAAACGAUGAGUGCUAAGUGUUAGGGGGUUUCCGCCCCUUUAGUGCUGCAGCUAACGCAUUAAGCACUCCGCCUGGGGAGUACGGUCGCAAGACUGAAACUCAAAGGAAUUGACGGGGGCCCGCACAAGCGGUGGAGCAUGUGGUUUAAUUCGAAGCAACGCGAAGAACCUUACCAGGUCUUGACAUCCUCUGACAAUCCUAGAGAUAGGACGUCCCCUUCGGGGGCAGAGUGACAGGUGGUGCAUGGUUGUCGUCAGCUCGUGUCGUGAGAUGUUGGGUUAAGUCCCGCAACGAGCGCAACCCUUGAUCUUAGUUGCCAGCAUUCAGUUGGGCACUCUAAGGUGACUGCCGGUGACAAACCGGAGGAAGGUGGGGAUGACGUCAAAUCAUCAUGCCCCUUAUGACCUGGGCUACACACGUGCUACAAUGGACAGAACAAAGGGCAGCGAAACCGCGAGGUUAAGCCAAUCCCACAAAUCUGUUCUCAGUUCGGAUCGCAGUCUGCAACUCGACUGCGUGAAGCUGGAAUCGCUAGUAAUCGCGGAUCAGCAUGCCGCGGUGAAUACGUUCCCGGGCCUUGUACACACCGCCCGUCACACCACGAGAGUUUGUAACACCCGAAGUCGGUGAGGUA
rnacentral:rRNA from 1 species